rnacentral:rRNA from 1 species
GAUGAACGCUGGCGGCGUGCCUAAUACAUGCAAGUCGAGCGACAGACGAGGAGCUUGCUCCUUCGACGUUAGCGGCGGACGGGUGAGUAACACGUAGGUAACCUACCUAUAAGACUGGGAUAACUUCGGGAAACCGGAGCUAAUACCGGAUAAUAUUUCGAACCGCAUGGUUCGAUAGUGAAAGAUGGCUUUGCUAUCACUUAUAGAUGGACCUGCGCCGUAUUAGCUAGUUGGUAAGGUAACGGCUUACCAAGGCAACGAUACGUAGCCGACCUGAGAGGGUGAUCGGCCACACUGGAACUGAGACACGGUCCAGACUCCUACGGGAGGCAGCAGUAGGGAAUCUUCCGCAAUGGGCGAAAGCCUGACGGAGCAACGCCGCGUGAGUGAUGAAGGUCUUCGGAUCGUAAAACUCUGUUAUUAGGGAAGAACAAACGUGUAAGUAACUGUGCACGUCUUGACGGUACCUAAUCAGAAAGCCACGGCUAACUACGUG